rnacentral:rRNA from 1 species
GAUGAACGCUGGCGGCGUGCCUAAUACAUGCAAGUCGAGCGAACAGACGAGGAGCUUGCUCCUCUGACGUUAGCGGCGGACGGGUGAGUAACACGUGGAUAACCUACCUAUAAGACUGGGAUAACUUCGGGAAACCGGAGCUAAUACCGGAUAAUAUAUUGAACCGCAUGGUUCAAUAGUGAAAGACGGUUUUGCUGUCACUUAUAGAUGGAUCCGCGCCGCAUUAGCUAGUUGGUAAGGUAACGGCUUACCAAGGCAGCGAUGCGUAGCCGACCUGAGAGGGUGAUCGGCCACACUGGAACUGAGACACGGUCCAGACUCCUACGGGAGGCAGCAGUAGGGAAUCUUCCGCAAUGGGCGAAAGCCUGACGGAGCAACGCCGCGUGAGUGACGAAGGUCUUCGGAUCGUAAAACUCUGUUAUUAGGGAAGAACAAAUGUGUAAGUAACUAUGCACGUCUUGACGGUACCUAAUCAGAAAGCCACGGCUAACUACGUG